GGCGGCCGUAACUAUAACGGUCCUAAGGUAGCGAAAUUCCUUGUCGGGUAAGUUCCGACCUGCACGAAUGGCGUAAUGAUGGCCAGGCUGUCUCCACCCGAGACUCAGUGAAAUUGAACUCGCUGUGAAGAUGCAGUGUACCCGCGGCAAGACGGAAAGACCCCGUGAACCUUUACUAUAGCUUGACACUGAACAUUGAGCCUUGAUGUGUAGGAUAGGUGGGAGGCUUUGAAGUGUGGACGCCAGUCUGCAUGGAGCCGACCUUGAAAUACCACCCUUUAAUGUUUGAUGUUCUAACGUGGACCCGUGAUCCGGGUUGCGGACAGUGUCUGGUGGGUAGUUUGACUGGGGCGGUCUCCUCCUAAAGAGUAACGGAGGAGCACGAAGGUUGGCUAAUCCUGGUCGGACAUCAGGAGGUUAGUGCAAUGGCAUAAGCCAGCUUGACUGCGAGCGUGACGGCGCGAGCAGGUGCGAAAGCAGGUCAUAGUGAUCCGGUGGUUCUGAAUGGAAGGGCCAUCGCUCAACGGAUAAAAGGUACUCCGGGGAUAACAGGCUGAUACCGCCCAAGAGUUCAUAUCGACGGCGGUGUUUGGCACCUCGAUGUCGGCUCAUCACAUCCUGGGGCUGAAGUAGGUCCCAAGGGUAUGGCUGUUCGCCAUUUAAAGUGGUACGCGAGCUGGGUUUAGAACGUCGUGAGACAGUUCGGUCCCUAUCUGCCGUGGGCGCUGGAGAACUGAGGGGGGCUGCUCCUAGUACGAGAGGACCGGAGUGGACGCAUCACUGGUGUUCGGGUUGUCAUGCCAAUGGCACUGCCCGGUAGCUAAAUGCGGAAGAGAUAAGUGCUGAAAGCAUCUAAGCACGAAACUUGCCCCGAGAUGAGUUCUCCCUGAGACUUUAAGUCUCCUGAAGGAACGUUGAAGACGACGACGUUGAUAGGCCGGGUGUGUAAGCGCAGCGAUGCGUUGAGCUAACCGGUACUAAUGAACCGUGAGGCUUAACCUUACA
rnacentral:rRNA from 1 species